ACGUAGGGUGCAAGCGUUAAUCGGAAUUACUGGGCGUAAAGCGCGCGCAGGCGGUUUUGUAAGUCAGAUGUGAAAUCCCCGGGCUCAACCUGGGAACUGCAUCUGUGACUGGAAAGCUGGAGUCUCGUAGAGGGGGGUAGAAUUCCAGGUGUAGCGGUGAAAUGCGUAGAGAUGUGGAGGAACACCGGUGGCGAAGGCGGCCCCCUGGACAGGUACUGACGCUGAGGCGCGAAAGCGUGGGGAGCAAACAG
rnacentral:rRNA from 1 species